GUGUCAGCCGCCGCGGUAAGACGAACCGUGCGAACGUUGUUCGGAAUCACUGGGCUUAAAGGGCGCGUAGGCGGACACUCAAGUCGGUGGUGAAAUCCUCCGGCUCAACCGGAGAAGAGCUGUCGAUACUGGGUGUCUCGAGGGGUGUAGGGGUCUGUGGAACUUUGGGUGGAGCGGUGAAAUGCGUAGAGAUCCAAAGGAACGCCGGUGGCGAAAGCGACGGACUGGACACCUUCUGACGCUGAGGCGCGAAAGCCAGGGGAGCAAACGGGAUUAGAUACCCUCGUAGUCC
rnacentral:rRNA from 1 species